rnacentral:ncRNA from 1 species
CGUUACGGUUUGGACUCAAGAUGCUUUGGGCCGUAGCGAGUACGACCCGCGCACAAGGGGAUCUGACCAGCGCGGGAGGGAUACCCACGUAGCUCCAGUUAGACCGCGCCUAGGACACUGCCGCUAGCCUAGGAGGAGCGCCCCGAAAGUGCUACGUGUGGCCGACCCUGUCAGGGCCGAGGGACCGCCAAGUCAUAACCUCGAAGACGGCCAGCGCAAC